UAGGGAAUCUUCCACAAUGGACGCAAGUCUGAUGGAGCAACGCCGCGUGAGUGAAGAAGGUUUUCGGACCGUAAAGCUCUGUUGUUGGUGAAGAAGGAUAGAGGUAGUAACUGGCCUUUAUUUGACGGUAAUCAACCAGAAAGUCACGGCUAACUACGUGCCAGCAGCCGCGGUAAUACGUAGGUGGCAAGCGUUGUCCGGAUUUAUUGGGCGUAAAGCGAGCGCAGGCGGAAGAAUAAGUCUGAUGUGAAAGCCCUCGGCUUAACCGAGGAAUUGCAUCGGAAACUGUUUUCUUGAGUGCAGAAGAGGAGAGUAGAACUCCAUGUGUAGCGGUGGAAUGCGUAGAUAUAUGGAAGAAUACCAGUGGCGAAGGCGGCCUCUG
rnacentral:rRNA from 1 species